UCAGGCGUCGAGCGGCGGACGGGUGAGUAAUACUUAGGAAUCUACCUAGUAGUGGGGGAUAGCACGGGGAAACUCGUAUUAAUACCGCAUACGACCUACGGGAGAAAGGGGGCAGUUUACUGCUCUCGCUAUUAGAUGAGCCUAAGUCGGAUUAGCUAGAUGGUGGGGUAAAGGCCUACCAUGGCGACGAUCUGUAGCUGGUCUGAGAGGAUGAUCAGCCACACCGGGACUGAGACACGGCCCGGACUCCUACGGGAGGCAGCAGUGGGGAAUAUUGGACAAUGGGGGAAACCCUGAUCCAGCCAUGCCGCGUGUGUGAAGAAGGCCUUUUGGUUGUAAAGCACUUUAAGCAGUGAAGAAGACUCUUCGGUUAAUACCCGGAGACGAUGACAUUAGCUGCAGAAUAAGCACCGGCUAACUACGUGCCAGCAGCCGCGGUAAUACGUAGGUGGCAAGCGUUGUCCGGAAUUAUUGGGCGUAAAGCGCGCGCAGGCGGCCUUUUAAGUCUGAUGUGAAAGCCCCCGGCUCAACCGGGGA
rnacentral:rRNA from 1 species